rnacentral:rRNA from 1 species
GAUGAACGCUGGCGGCGUGCCUAAUACAUGCAAGUCGAGCGAACAGACGAGGAGCUUGCUCCUCUGACGUUAGCGGCGGACGGGUGAGUAACACGUGGAUAACCUACCUAUAAGACUGGGAUAACUUCGGGAAACCGGAGCUAAUACCGGAUAAUAUAUUGAACCGCAUGGUUCAAUAGUUAAAGACGGUUUUGCUGUCACUUAUAGAUGGAUCCGCGCCGCAUUAGCUAGUUGGUAAGGUAACGGCUUACCAAGGCAACGAUGCUUAGCCGACCUGAGAGGGUGAUUGGCCACACUGGAACUGAGACACGGCCCAGACUCCUACGGGAGGCAGCAGUAGGGAAUCUUCCGCAAUGCGCGAAAGCUUGACGGAGCAACGCCGCGUGAGUGAUGAAGGUCUUCGGAUCGUAAAACUCUGUUAUUAGGGAAGAACAAAUGUGUAAGUAACUAUGCACGUCUUGACGGUACCUAAUCAGAAAGCCCCGGCUAACUACGUG